rnacentral:rRNA from 1 species
UACGUAGGGUGCGAGCGUUAAUCGGAAUUACUGGGCGUAAAGUGUGCGCAGGCGGCUUCGCAAGUCGAGUGUGAAAUCCCCGAGCUUAACUUGGGAAUUGCGCUCGAAACUACGGAGCUGGAGUGUGGCAGAGGAAGGUGGAAUUCCACGUGUAGCGGUGAAAUGCGUAGAGAUGUGGAGGAACACCGAUGGCGAAGGCAGCCUUCUGGGCCAACACUGACGCUCAUGCACGAAAGCUAGGGGAGCAAACGGG